rnacentral:rRNA from 1 species
UACGGAGGGGGCUAGCGUUGUUCGGAAUUACUGGGCGUAAAGCGUGCGCAGGCGGUGAUGUAAGACCGAUGUGAAAUCCCCGGGCUUAACCUGGGAACUGCAUUGGUGACUGCAUUGCUAGAGUAUGGCAGAGGGGGGUGGAAUUCCACGUGUAGCAGUGAAAUGCGUAGAGAUGUGGAGGAACACCGAUGGCGAAGGCAGCCCCCUGGGCCAAUACUGGACGCUCAUGC